ensembl:snRNA
AAGUUGUAUGGAAGAAAAGAGGGUUGGCAUUCCUGGGAUAGAAAUGGAAAAUGUCUUCGUGACCAAGGAACACAUACAUGAUUAAGGAGUGACCACGUGCUUUG